UACGUAGGGUGCAAGCGUUGUCCGGAAUCACUGGGCUUAAAGCGCGUGUAGGCGGAUGGGAACGUCGGUAGUUGAAAGCCCCCGGCUCAACCGGGGAAGUGGUGCCGAAACGACCCGUCUGGAGGGACGUAGGGGGAUCUGGAACUUCCGGUGGAGCGGUGAAAUGCGUUGAGAUCGGAAGGAACGCCCGUGGCGAAAGCGAGGUCCUGGACGUCUACUGACGCUGAGACGCGAAAGCUAGGGGAGCAAACGGG
rnacentral:rRNA from 1 species